AGGACGAACGCUGGCGGCGUGCUUAACACAUGCAAGUCGAGCGGAAAGGCCCUUCGGGGUACUCGAGCGGCGAACGGGUGAGUAACACGUGAGCAACCUGCCCUUAGCUUCGGGAUAGCUCCGGGAAACCGGAAUUAAUACCGGAUAUGACUAUGGCCGACAUCAGCCAUGGUGGAAAGUUUUUCGGCUAGGGAUGGACUCGCGGCCUAUCAGCUAGUUGGUGAGGUAACGGCUCACCAAGGCGACGACGGGUAGCCGGCCUGAGAGGGCGACCGGCCACACUGGGACUGAGACACGGCCCAGACUCCUACGGGAGGCAGCAGUGGGGAAUUUUCCGCAAUGGAGGCAACUCUGACGGAGCAACGCCGCGUGCAGGAGGAAGGUUUUCGGAUCGUAAACUGCUUUUCUCGGGGACGAGCAAGGACGGUACCCGAGGAAGAAGCCCCGGCUAACGUACGCGCCAGCAGCCGC
rnacentral:rRNA from 1 species